rnacentral:lncRNA from 1 species
GAGAGGCUGCUUCCAAUCGACCCUCGGCGCAUAGGAUAGAAUGAAAAGCUGCAUUGGAACAAAGACAGAAUUAGGUACCAAAGCAUGACAAAACAAAAUAAUACAGCAUAAGUAAUCCCGCAGAGAUAGCGUAUAUAAUUAUGUAAACAUAAGAAACAUAAAUACAGUCGCAUGCAAUAAUAACAAGCAGUAACUACCAUACUAACAACCAAAAUGGGACCUAAGCUAAAACACUAGUCAUCUAUGGUAACCCUACCAUCCCACACCCAACCCCGGGUGAGGCGAACGAAGGACUCUAUGAGCCCCUAGCCUGCAACCCUGAUCCUAGACCUCCAGACUCCCCUAUCGAGGGUCAUGUCCUCGGUAACCUGCAUCCUAGUCAUGUCCUGCCUAAUCACCUCUCCCC